rnacentral:misc_RNA from 1 species
GCGGACGACAAUUCCCUUCUCUUUCUCCAAUCUGAGAAGCUUGUCCCCUUGAGGCAUCCAAGUUUCUCUAACCGAAUCUCGCCUCUUCCUACUGCUAAAAGCAGUAUUAAUUCCAAUUACCACAAAAACUUUCUUUCUUGGAGGGCCAUUUUGGGAAUGAGAAGAAUUGGAAGACUGAUCAGCCACCUUCAUUUCCUGUGUGCUCCUAGUGGCUGCCAACUCCAUCUGAAGCGUAGCAAUUGACUUGUCCAGUGAUUGAAUUGCUUCAUGGGUUUUGUACACCUCUUGCAUUACAUCCUUAUCUUGUCCUUGUUUCUUCUUUUUCGAAUUACAAUCCUCAGAAACAACUUGAAGUUCUU